rnacentral:rRNA from 1 species
GGGUUGUGAGGUUAAGCGACUAAGCGUACACGGUGGAUGCCCUGGCAGUCAGAGGCGAUGAAGGACGUGCUAAUCUGCGAUAAGCGUCGGUAAGGUGAUAUGAACCGUUAUAACCGGCGAUUUCCGAAUGGGGAAACCCAGUGUGAUUCGUCACACUAUCAUUAACUGAAUCCAUAGGUUAAUGAGGCGAACCGGGGGAACUGAAACAUCUAAGUACCCCGAGGAAAAGAAAUCAACCGAGAUUCCCCCAGUAGCGGCGAGCGAACGGGGAGGAGCCCAGAGCCUGAAUCAGUGUGUGUGUUAGUGGAAGCGUCUGGAAAGGCGCGCGAUACAGGGUGACAGCCCCGUACACAAAAAUGCACAUGCUGUGAGCUCGAUGAGUAGGGCGGGACACGUGGUAUCCUGUCUGAAUAUGGGGGGACCAUCCUCCAAGGCUAAAUACUCCUGACUGACCGAUAGUGAACCAGUACCGUGAGGGAAAGGCGAAAAGAACCCCGGCGAGGGGAGUGAAAAAGAACCUGAAACCGUGUACGUACAAGCAGUGGGAGCCUCUUUAUGGGGUGACUGCGUACCUUUUGUAUAAUGGGUCAGCGACUUAUAUUCUGUAGCAAGGUUAACCGAAUAGGGGAGCCGAAGGGAAACCGAGUCUUAACUGGGCGUUAAGUUGCAGGGUAUAGACCCGAAACCCGGUGAUCUAGCCAUGGGCAGGUUGAAGGUUGGGUAACACUAACUGGAGGACCGAACCGACUAAUGUUGAAAAAUUAGCGGAUGACUUGUGGCUGGGGGUGAAAGGCCAAUCAAACCGGGAGAUAGCUGGUUCUCCCCGAAAGCUAUUUAGGUAGCGCCUCGUGAAUUCAUCUCCGGGGGUAGAGCACUGUUUCGGCAAGGGGGUCAUCCCGACUUACCAACCCGAUGCAAACUGCGAAUACCGGAGAAUGUUAUCACGGGAGACACACGGCGGGUGCUAACGUCCGUCGUGAAGAGGGAAACAACCCAGACCGCCAGCUAAGGUCCCAAAGUCAUGGUUAAGUGGGAAACGAUGUGGGAAGGCCCAGACAGCCAGGAUGUUGGCUUAGAAGCAGCCAUCAUUUAAAGAAAGCGUAAUAGCUCACUGGUCGAGUCGGCCUGCGCGGAAGAUGUAACGGGGCUAAACCAUGCACCGAAGCUGCGGCAGCGACACUAUGUGUUGUUGGGUAGGGGAGCGUUCUGUAAGCCUGCGAAGGUGUACUGUGAGGUAUGCUGGAGGUAUCAGAAGUGCGAAUGCUGACAUAAGUAACGAUAAAGCGGGUGAAAAGCCCGCUCGCCGGAAGACCAAGGGUUCCUGUCCAACGUUAAUCGGGGCAGGGUGAGUCGACCCCUAAGGCGAGGCCGAAAGGCGUAGUCGAUGGGAAACAGGUUAAUAUUCCUGUACUUGGUGUUACUGCGAAGGGGGGACGGAGAAGGCUAUGUUGGCCGGGCGACGGUUGUCCCGGUUUAAGCGUGUAGGCUGGUUUUCCAGGCAAAUCCGGAAAAUCAAGGCUGAGGCGUGAUGACGAGGCACUACGGUGCUGAAGCAACAAAUGCCCUGCUUCCAGGAAAAGCCUCUAAGCAUCAGGUAACAUCAAAUCGUACCCCAAACCGACACAGGUGGUCAGGUAGAGAAUACCAAGGCGCUUGAGAGAACUCGGGUGAAGGAACUAGGCAAAAUGGUGCCGUAACUUCGGGAGAAGGCACGCUGAUAUGUAGGUGAAGUCCCUCGCGGAUGGAGCUGAAAUCAGUCGAAGAUACCAGCUGGCUGCAACUGUUUAUUAAAAACACAGCACUGUGCAAACACGAAAGUGGACGUAUACGGUGUGACGCCUGCCCGGUGCCGGAAGGUUAAUUGAUGGGGUUAGCGGUAACGCGAAGCUCUUGAUCGAAGCCCCGGUAAACGGCGGCCGUAACUAUAACGGUCCUAAGGUAGCGAAAUUCCUUGUCGGGUAAGUUCCGACCUGCACGAAUGGCGUAAUGAUGGCCAGGCUGUCUCCACCCGAGACUCAGUGAAAUUGAACUCGCUGUGAAGAUGCAGUGUACCCGCGGCAAGACGGAAAGACCCCGUGAACCUUUACUAUAGCUUGACACUGAACAUUGAGCCUUGAUGUGUAGGAUAGGUGGGAGGCUUUGAAGUGUGGACGCCAGUCUGCAUGGAGCCGACCUUGAAAUACCACCCUUUAAUGUUUGAUGUUCUAACGUUGGCCCCUGAUCGGGGUUGCGGACAGUGUCUGGUGGGUAGUUUGACUGGGGCGGUCUCCUCCUAAAGAGUAACGGAGGAGCACGAAGGUUGGCUAAUCCUGGUCGGACAUCAGGAGGUUAGUGCAAUGGCAUAAGCCAGCUUGACUGCGAGCGUGACGGCGCGAGCAGGUGCGAAAGCAGGUCAUAGUGAUCCGGUGGUUCUGAAUGGAAGGGCCAUCGCUCAACGGAUAAAAGGUACUCCGGGGAUAACAGGCUGAUACCGCCCAAGAGUUCAUAUCGACGGCGGUGUUUGGCACCUCGAUGUCGGCUCAUCACAUCCUGGGGCUGAAGUAGGUCCCAAGGGUAUGGCUGUUCGCCAUUUAAAGUGGUACGCGAGCUGGGUUUAGAACGUCGUGAGACAGUUCGGUCCCUAUCUGCCGUGGGCGCUGGAGAACUGAGGGGGGCUGCUCCUAGUACGAGAGGACCGGAGUGGACGCAUCACUGGUGUUCGGGUUGUCAUGCCAAUGGCACUGCCCGGUAGCUAAAUGCGGAAGAGAUAAGUGCUGAAAGCAUCUAAGCACGAAACUUGCCCCGAGAUGAGUUCUCCCUGACUCCUUGAGAGUCCUGAAGGAACGUUGAAGACGACGACGUUGAUAGGCCGGGUGUGUAAGCGCAGCGAUGCGUUGAGCUAACCGGUACUAAUGAACCGUGAGGCUUAACCUUACAACGCCGAAG